AGCAGCCGCGGUAAUUCCAGCUCCAAUAGCGUAUAUUAAAGUUGUUGCAGUUAAAAAGCUCGUAGUUGAAUUUCGGGAUCAAUAUGUCGGUCGUGCUUUUUGGUACGUACUGGCGUCAUUGGUUUCUCCCUUCUGACGAACCUUGAUGUCAUUAAUUUGGUGUCUUGGGAAAUCAGGACUGUUACUUUGAAAAAAUUAGAGUGUUUAAAGCAGGCUCACGCUUGAAUACAUUAGCAUGGAAUAAUGAAAUAGGACGUUUGAUUCUAUUUUGUUGGUUUCUAGGAUUGACAUAAUGAUUAAUAGGGAUAGUUGGGGGCAUUAGUAUUCAAUUGUCAGAGGUGAAAUUCUUGGAUUUAUUGAAGACUAACUACUGCGAAAGCAUUUGCCAAGGAUGUUUUCAUUAAUCAAGAACGAAAGUUAGGGGAUCGAAGACGAUCAGAUACCGUCGUAGUCUUAACCAUAAACUAUGCCGACUAGGGAUCGGAUGAUGUUAAUUUUUUUAAUGACUCAUUCGGCGCCU
rnacentral:rRNA from 1 species